UAAUAGCACAACAGCUAACCAUGUGUCAGAGUUUUCACCUAUAAUGAGAACUGCAGCAAUAAAUUUUUAGAAGAAGAACAAAAAAUGUGUUUAAGCUUUUAAUCCAAAAUUGUUUUUUCUUAGACAAUAAUUAUUAGGCUUGGAGAUGAGUGUGGCUAGAGGUAUUUUCCUUCCAGUGUCACACAUAAAUUUGCUUUGUCUGAUGAGUGUCUGAUUAACUCUUUAAAGGACAAACCUUUCUGAUUUCUUGCUUCUGUGUUUCUUUAAGCCCAGAGAGCCUUGAGCACAUACUAUCUCAAGUUACCAGAGUGACCAGACUUAUAGAUGAGUUGGUUACCAUGGUGAUGGAGCAGAAGACUGACAGCUGGUUACUGUAGUAGUGGCAUUGGAGAUGGAUGAGACCACUUUAGCUAUAGUGGUCCUCCCUUUCAUUGGGAGUAUGCGGGAUGGAUGAAUCUACUUUAACAGUUUACCUCCACCCCAGCUGACAAGACACAUCCUCAAGUCCCUGCCCAUUUUUGGUCAUGGAAACUAUGUACUGCCACCCACAAGAACUCUCUUCAGAAAUAUCUAUUUACCUUUCUUCCACUGAAGAAGAAAAACAACAACAACAUGAGGGCGAGUAAACAACAAUCUUCAUUUGUGUGAAAGUGAAGAUUUUUUAUUUUUUCAUUUGCCCUGGUCGUUUAGGUCUUUUAUGAUUAUAAAUAUCCAAGAACCUUUCACCUUUUAAGGUUCAGACAUCGUUUUUCAUCAGUUCCCUUGAACAAUCAGACAGCGGAUUUCCACUAAAGGGAAAGAUUGAGAAGGACAUGCUCGAAAGUGUUCUCAACAUCAGCAUUCCAAAAGGCUUUCUAGGUUAGGAGAGGUGAGAGUUAUUUAGAUUGUGAGAGGUUGUAUGAGAUAGAGACGUAUUUAAGGAUUGAGGUAUGGAGUUAUAACCUGACAGCACGGAGUCCUCACUGCCCUGAGCGCUCUCAGUAGUGGAGUGACAGAGAUGGAUGUGGCUGCACUGCAGUGCUAACGUCCUCAGCCUCAGGGUCAGUGCAAAGCAGGGGAACAAUCCCAUCAACCUCUCCUGCAGGAAUAACACUCCCUAAACUGACUGGCAUUUGUGAAGCAAGUGCCAUACAUACCGGCCUUUAGCCUAGAAAUUAAAAAAAACGAAAUUAACAUUUCUUACAGUCUUCACCAUCACCUUUUUAUGCUUUGACCUUUGAGAUCCUCUGAAAAAAUGGCGUGUUUCUUUAACAUAUCAGUGCACUUAUAAGUGUAAUUAUAAUGGCAAUCCAAGUCAUUUUUUAUUCUCAUUUAUAUGACAUAUGAACUAUGAUAAGUAUUAUAUUUUGUUGUUAUUUGAUGUAUAAUAUAGUGCUGGGCAACGGUUAAUUGCAAUUAAUCGCAUCCAAAAUAAAG